CGCGGCCCUGCCCUCCGCUGCCCCUGCUCCCCGCGCUCGCUGUCGCCAACGCGGGCUCGCCCAGCUCCCCGGCCGGGCACCCGGGGCCGAGGCGCGGCCGCCCUGCCCUCUGCGCGGUGCCCACACGGGCACGCCUGGCGCCGCGUCCUCCCGGCGCUCGGGCCACUCCGGGCCGUCUCCAGGGGAGGAGGCGGGGGUGCGCGUGUGCACACGGCCUGCGGGAGUGAGUGUGUGCACACGGCCUGCGGGAGUGAGUGUGUGCACACGGCCUGCGGGGGUGCGCGUGCGGACACGAGCGCACGCGUGGACACACCGUCGUGGUGUGACGAUGAGGCUGGCGCCGCCUGGCCGUUUGAGCUCACUGGCUUUUUUUCAGAAAAGAACUGAGCCUGAGCGCCUGGCGCAGGAACGACAGCCGGAUGCCAGUCUGCAGCGCCGCACCGACAUCCCGGCCCGGAAGAGAACGGGCGAGCCAGAGGCGGCGCGAGCUCUGGGAUUCGAACCCUCAGCCAAAGGCGGAGCGGCAUGGCGCAGGCGCGGACCUGAGCGGAAGCGCAGAGCAGGCUCAGCACCCACAGUUCCGCGCGUGGGCCGCGUCCGGAAGUCCGAUGCGGGGAAUCUCCGAUCCUCGUCCUCUGAUUCGUUACCCGCCAUUUCCACUUCCGCAGACAAUUCGGUUCCUCUUCCCGCCGUCCGCGAGACAUGUACCCAUCCGUAGGAAGUGCGCGCCCGCCCUGUUUUGUUUCCGGGGGAGUAGGCUUCUUAGAAAGACACUCGUGACUUCCGGUGUUCCCCUUAUCCUGAUUGGCUGGAUUUGUGAAUUCAUUAAAGCAUAGGAAAAAAAAAUCUGCUCUCUUCUUACUCAAAUUAAUAAAGGC
rnacentral:lncRNA from 1 species